ACUUCAUUUUAUUAAAACCAGAAAGGAUGCUGUUGGCCACUUUGCUCAACACCCUCAUCAGUACUGCCCACGGGGCUCUGUUCUGGAUUGGGUCAACAACACGCCUCUGACACAGGAUUUUUCCAGGCUGUUGAAAUGUCAGAUGGCGAAAACAAGCAAGAGUUCCAGAUGGAGCAACUGGAAGCGAAACACGACAAAGAUGCUGAUGGGAAAGCUUCAGAUUCACACUUGAUUGGGAGUCCCAUGCUUGGGAUUGGGAGUCCCCACCGUGGAUUCCAAACCCACUCUCUGUGCAAGCCCUUGUGCAAAGCAGCACCCCAUGAGGAAGUUCUUCAUUACUAUGGAUUGAAGACUGAAAUAAAGGCAAUUUCGGGUGCUCACAGCCUCCUGCCUGCUGGUCUGCAAGUGGGACCUCACCAURAGAUGCUUCCCAGUGCAGCAAAACUCACUGACCAUCACUGACUGCUGGGCACUUCUCUGUUCCAGAGCAAUCUGCAGAGCUGAGAACACUGAUCUGAAGCUGUAUCUGAAAAUGCUGAGACCAUUGGUAAGCUGUAGGAGGCCUUCAGCAACCACCAGCCUUACUCCAGAAGGAAAGGGUAGAAUUUCCUGGAUGAGCCAGCUGGG